UACGAAGGGGGCUAGCGUUGUUCGGAUUUACUGGGCGUAAAGCGCGCGUAGGCGGUUUGUUAAGUCAGGGGUGAAAUCCCACAGCUCAACUGUGGAACUGCCUUUGAUACUGGCAAGCUAGAGUCCGGAAGAGGUAAGUGGAACUCCUAGUGUAGAGGUGGAAUUCGUAGAUAUUAGGAAGAACACCAGUGGCGAAGGCGGCUUACUGGUCCGGAACUGACGCUGAGGUGCGAAAGCGUGGGGAGCAAACAGG
rnacentral:rRNA from 1 species